rnacentral:piRNA from 1 species
UUUGCAAAGUGACUUUGCAAGGGUGUAGU